rnacentral:rRNA from 1 species
UGGGGAAUUUUGGACAAUGGGCGAAAGCCUGAUCCAGCAAUGCCGCGUGAGUGAAGAAGGCCUUCGGGUUGUAAAGCUCUUUUGUCAGGGAAGAAACGGUGAGAGCUAAUAUCUUUUGCUAAUGACGGUACCUGAAGAAUAAGCACCGGCUAACUACGUGCCAGCGGCCGCGGUAAUACGUAGGGUGCAAGCGUUAAUCGGAAUUACUGGGCGUAAAGCGUGCGCAGGCGGUUUUGUAAGUCUGAUGUGAAAUCCCCGGGCUCAACCUGGGAAUUGCGUUGGAGACUGCGAGGCUAGAAUCUGGCAGAGGGGGGUAGAAUUCCACGUGUAGCAGUGAAAUGCGUAGAUAUGUGGAGGAACACCGAUGGCGAAGGCAGCCCCCCUGGGUCAAGAUUGANGCUCAUGCACGAAAGCGUGGGGAGCAAAACAGGAUUAGAUACCCCUGGUAGUCCACGCCCUAAAACGAUGUCUACUAGUUGUCGGGUCUUAAUUGACUUGGUAACGCAGCUAACGCGUGAAGUAGACCGCCUGGGGAGUACGGUCGCAAGAUUAAAAACUUAAAAUGAAUUGACGGGGGUCAUAGCUGUUUCCUG